rnacentral:rRNA from 1 species
UUCGUCAUUGCUGCGGUUAAAAAGCUCGUAGUUGGAUCUGAGUCACAUGCAGUGGUUCGCCUUUGGCGUUAAUCGCUGUUGUGACUAUUUGCUGGUUUUCUACUUAGGUUUCGGCCUUUGUAGUGGCUAGCGAGUUUACUUUGAAUAAAUUAGAGUGCUCAGAACAGGCGUUUGCCUGAAUGCUCGAUCAUGGAAUAAUAAAAGAGGACUUCGGUUCUAUUUAUUGGUUCAGGAACUGAAAUAAUGGUUAAGAGGGACAAUUCGGGGGCAUUCGUAUCCCUGCGCGAGAGGUGAAAUUCGUGGACCGCAGGGGGACGCCCUAAAGCGAAAGCAUUUGCCAAGAAUGUCUUCAUUAAUCAAGAACGAAAGUCAGAGGUUCGAAGGCGAUUAGAUACCGCCCUAGUUCUGACCGUAAACUAUGCCAUCUAGCGAUCCGAUGGGGUAUAGUUGCCUUGUCGAGGAGCUUCCCGGAAACGAAAGUCUUUCGGUUCCUGGGGUAGUAUGGUUGCAAAGCUGAAACUUAAAGAAAUUGACGGAAUGGCACCACCAGGAGUGGAGCCUGCGGCUUAAUUUGACUCAACACGGGAAAACUCACCCGGCCCGGACACCGUAAGGAUUGACAGAUUGAAAGCUCUUUCUCGAUUUGGUGGUUGGUGGUGCAUGGCCGUUCUUAGUUGGUGGAGCGAUUUGUCUGGUUUAUUCCGAUAACGAGCGAGACUCUAGCCUGCUAAAUAGUGGCUGGAUUUUUAAGUCCAGUCUACUUCUUAGAGGGAUAAGCGGUGUUUAGCCGCACGAGAUUGAGCGAUAACAGGUCUGUGAUGCCCUUAGAUGUCCGGGGCUGCACGCGCGCUACAAUGGAAGAAUCAGCUGGCCUAUCCAUUGCCGAAAGGCAUUGGUAAACCGUUGAAACUCUUCCGUGACCGGGAUAGGGAAUUGUAAUUAUUUCCCUUGAACGAGGAAUUCCUAGUAAGUGUGAGUCAUCAGCUCACGCUGAUUACGUCCCUGCCAUUUGUACACACCGCCCGUCGCUGUCCGGGACUGAGCUGUCUCGAGAGGACUGCGGACUGCUGUAUCGAGGCCUUCGGGUCGCSGGUWAUGGGCSGGGAAAAAC